rnacentral:rRNA from 1 species
UGGGGAAUAUUGCGCAAUGGGCGAAAGCCUGACCCAGCAACGCCGCGUGAAGGAUGAAGUAUUUCGGUAUGUAAACUUCGUAAGAAUAGGAAGAAUAAAUGACGGUACUAUUUGUAAGGUCCGGCUAACUACGUGCCAGCAGCCGCGGUAAUACGUAGGGACCAAGCGUUGUUCGGAUUUACUGGGCGUAAAGGGCGCGUAGGCGGUGUGUCAAGUCAGUUGUGAAAUCUCCGAGCUUAACUCGGAACGGUCAACUGAUACUGUCACACUAGAGUACAGAAGGGGCAAUCGGAAUUCUUGGUGUAGCGGUGAAAUGCGUAGAUAUCAAGAGGAACACCUGAGGCGAAGGCGGGUUGCUGGGCUGAUACUGACGCUGAGGCGCGAAAGCUAGGGUAGCAAACGGGAUUAGAUACCCCCGUAGUCCCUGAGCGGGCUGGCAAGGCGCAU